UGGCGGCAGGCUUAAUACAUGCAAGUCGAACGGUAACGACCGGUAGCAAUACUGAGGCGACGAGUGGCGCACGGGUGCGUAACGCGUAUGACAACCUACCCUCAACCGGGGCAUAACGCCGAGAAAUUGGCGCUAAUAUCCCAUGUGUAUGUGAGACGGCAUCGUCUUAUAUAUAAAGAUCCGUUGGUUAAGGAUGGGCAUGCGUAACAUUAGCUAGUUGGCGGGGUAACGGCCCACCAAGGCGACGAUGUUUAGGGGUUCUGAGAGGAUUCACCCCCACACUGGAACUGAGACACGGUCCAGACUCCUACGGGAGGCAGCAGUAGGGAAUAUUGGGCAAUGGAGGCAACUCUGACCCAGCCAUGCCGCCGUGAAGGAAGACGGCCCUAUGGGUUGUAAACUUCUUUUGCCGCAGAGUAACCCGGGGGACGCGUCCCCCGCUGAGAGUAUGCGGCGAAUAAGUAUCGGCUAACUCCGUGCCAGCAGCCGC
rnacentral:rRNA from 1 species